GACGAACCGAGCGAACGUUGUUCGGAAUCACUGGGCUUAAAGGGCGCGUAGGCGGGUGCUCAAGUCCGGGGUGAAAUCCUCCAGCUCAACUGGAGAACUGCCUCGGAUACUGGGUGCCUCGAGGGUGGUAGGGGUAUGCGGAACUAUCGGUGGAGCGGUGAAAUGCGUUGAUAUCGGUAGGAACUCCGGUGGCGAAGGCGGCAUACUGGACCACAUCUGACGCUGAGGAGCGAAAGCCAGGGGAGCAAACGGG
rnacentral:rRNA from 1 species